rnacentral:rRNA from 1 species
CAGUAGCCGCGGGAAUACGAAGGGGGCUAGCGUUGCUCGGAAUCACUGGGCGUAAAGGGUGCGUAGGCGGGUCUUUAAGUCAGGGGUGAAAUCCUGGAGCUCAACUCCAGAACUGCCCUUGAUACUGAAGAUCUUGAGUUCGGGAGAGGUGAGUGGAACUGCGAGUGUAGAGGUGAAAUUCGUAGAUAUUCGCAAGAACACCAGUGGCGAAGGCGGCUCACUGGCCCGAUACUGACGCUGAGGCACGAAAGCGUGGGGAGCAAACAGGAUUAGAUACCCGAGUAGUCCCUGUCUCUUAUAC